GGGGUUGUAGCUCAGUGGCAGAGUGCUUGCCUAGCAUGCAUGAGGCACUGGGUUUGAUCCUCAGCACCACA
rnacentral:tRNA from 1 species